ACACAGGCCAGCCCUUCUCACAUCAGAGCAGAGGGCACAAAAACACUCACGUGAGUGAAUUAUCAACUGUGAACUCACACAAUAAUUCUGAACAUCCACGGAGCCAGCAGGCCUGAGAUGCAGGCAGGCAGGACAAACAGACCCACAGACAGGAGCAUCAGAGAGACUGAGAAGCAAACACUUGGGCCCAUUGCUUACCAGUUCCUGCCUCCAGGUUCCUGUCUCGACUCCCUGGAUGAUAGACCGUGACGUGGAAAUGUAAGAUGAAGUAAACUUUCCUCCCCAUU